GGUUAAGCGACUAAGCGUACACGGUGGAUGCCCUGGCAGUCAGAGGCGAUGAAGGGCGUGCUAAUCUGCGAUAAGCGCCGGUAAGGUGAUAUGAACCGUUAUAACCGGCGAUACCCGAAUGGGGAAACCCAGUGUGAUUCGUCACACUAUCAUUAACUGAAUCCAUAGGUUAAUGAGGCGAACCGGGGGAACUGAAACAUCUAAGUACCCCGAGGAAAAGAAAUCAACCGAGAUUCCCCCAGUAGCGGCGAGCGAACGGGGAGGAGCCCAGAGCCUGAAUCAGCAUGUGUGUUAGUGGAAGCGUCUGGAAAGGCGCGCGAUACAGGGUGACAGCCCCGUACACAAAAGCGCAUGUGCUGUGAGCUCGAUGAGUAGGGCGGGACACGUGGUAUCCUGUCUGAAUAUGGGGGGACCAUCCUCCAAGGCUAAAUACUCCUGACUGACCGAUAGUGAACCAGUACCGUGAGGGAAAGGCGAAAAGAACCCCGGCGAGGGGAGUGAAAAAGAACCUGAAACCGUGUACGUACAAGCAGUGGGAGCCCCACCACUAAGCCAGUGGUGAACUCCACAUCCGCAUCCUUUGCUGAGGAUACGGUUAACGGAGCGAAAGCGACGUUCAACCGCAAAACAAGCAGAGGGGGCUUAG
rnacentral:rRNA from 1 species